GUGGUUAAGUUACUAAGGGCACACGGUGGAUGCCUUGGCGCUAGGAGCCGAAGAAGGACGCAGCGAACUGCGAUAAGCCUCGGGGAGCGGUAAGCACGCUUUGAUCCGGGGAUCUCCGAAUGGGGCAACCCACCAUCUGUAAUGGGAUGGUAUCCUUCACUGAAUCCAUAGGUGAUGAGAGGGCAGACCCGGUGAACUGAAACAUCUAAGUAGCCGGAGGAAGAGAAAACAAUAGUGAUUCCGUCAGUAGUGGCGAGCGAACGCGGAAGAGCCUAAACCGUCGGGUUUACCCGGCGGGGUUGUGGGGCGUCUCACAUGGAGUUACAAAGG
rnacentral:rRNA from 1 species